AGGAGUUUGGAGUCCUGGCUCAGGAUGAAACGCUGGCGGCGUGCCUAACACAUGCAAGUCGAGCGAUUUACUUCGGUAAAGAGCGGCGGACGGGUGAGUAACGCGUGGGUAACCUGCCCUGUACACACGGAUAACAUACCGAAAGGUAUGCUAAUACGAGAUAAAUACUUUUAUCGCAUGGUAGAAGUAUCAAAGCUUUUGCGGUACAGGAUGGACCCGCGUCUGAUUAGCUAGUUGGUAAGGUAACGGCUUACCAAGGCGACGAUCAGUAGCCGACUUGAGAGGGUGAUCGGCCACAUUGGAACUGAGACACGGUCCAAACUCCUACGGGAGGCAGCAGUGGGGAAUAUUGCACAAUGGGCGAAAGCCUGAUGCAGCAACGCCGCGUGAGCGAUGAAGGCCUUCGGGUCGUAAAGCUCUGUCCUCAAGGAAGAUAAUGACGGUACUUGAGGAGGAAGCCCCGGCUAACUACGUG
rnacentral:rRNA from 1 species